rnacentral:rRNA from 1 species
AGUGAACGCUGGCGGUAGGCCUAACACAUGCAAGUCGAACGGCAGCACAGUAAGAGCUUGCUCUUACGGGUGGCGAGUGGCGGACGGGCGAGGAAUACAUCGGAAUCUACUUUUUCGUGGGGGAUAACGUAGGGAAACUUACGCUAAUACCGCAUACGACCUACGGGUGAAAGCAGGGGAUCUUCGGACCUUGCGCGAUUGAAUGAGCCGAUGUCGGAUUAGCUAGUUGGCGGGGUAAAGGCCCACCAAGGCGACGAUCCGUAGCUGGUCUGAGAGGAUGAUCAGCCGCACUGGAACUGAGACACGGUCCAGACUCCUACGGGAGGCAGCAGUGGGGAAUAUUGGACAAUGGGCGCAAGCCUGAUCCAGCCAUACCGCGUGGGUGAAGAAGGCCUUCGGGUUGUAAAGCCCUUUUGUUGGGAAAGAAAAGCAGCAGGUUAAUACCCCGCUGUUCUGACGGUACCCAAAGAAUAAGCACCGGCUAACUUCGUG